GCCUCACCGCCGCGUCUCCCCUACUGAAGCAGAACGCCCGAUCUGCCGUCUAUAUCUCCGGUUCGCGAAGCAACCUUGCAGCAGUCGUCCCGCGCGCCGAUCUACUGCUGACCGACCCACACUUAGGAUUUUUGCUGCGAGUUCGACAUUCGUGCGUUGAGGUGUUGGGAGUAACGUUAGGCUCCCUUACAUUCACAACCGUUUGUGAAUUGUUGAAGGUUCAGUUCGCCAAUAUAUCGGAUUGUUUCGAGGACGUUAGUUGAUUAAGGAGCUUCCCUAACUUUGAGGCAAAGGUAAUAAAAGCGGCAAACCGGCGAGGGGCAGGAAGGAAGCGUGACUGCCAUAGGAAAUAUGUUGUUUGCUUCCGCUUAUGGGUUCUUGUGAGGUUUAAGAUGAAUUGAAAGUUUGCUUACAAACGUUUAUUGUAAAUAGUAUUGUUUUUAUGUUUUCUUAAAUGUUUGAAAUUCAGGCCUGACUUAAAGAUGUUUUUAAAUUAGCUUACGUUUUGUUUUA